rnacentral:rRNA from 1 species
UAACAGAGGGGGCAAGCGUUGUUCGGAAUUACUGGGCGUAAAGGGCGCGUAGGCGGCCUUCUAAGUCGAACGUGAAAUCCCCGGGCUCAACCCGGGAACUGCGUCCGAUACUGGAAGGCUUGGAAUCCGGGAGAGGGAUGCGGAAUUCCAGGUGUAGGCGGUGAAAUGUCGUAGGAUAUCUGGAAGGAACACCGGUGGCGAAGGCGCAUCCUGGACCGGCAUGACGACUGAGGCGCGAAAAGCCAGGGGAGCAAACGGGAUUAGAAACCCCGUGUACGUCGAGAACCAAGAUCUACC